rnacentral:rRNA from 1 species
CGAGGGGGGCAAGUGUUGUUCGGAAUUACUGGGCGUAAAGGGAGCGUAGGCGGAUGUUUAAGUCGGGAGUUUAAAACCGGGGCCCAACCCCGGAGCGGCUCCCGAAACUGGAUAUCUAGAAUAGGUCAGAGGCUAGUGGAAUUGGAGGUGUAGCGGUGGAAUGCGUAGAGAUCUCCAAGAACACCUAUUGCGAAGGCAGCUAGCUGGGACCAUAUUGACGCUGAGGCUCGAAAGCAUGGGGAGCAAACAGGAUUAGAUACCCUGGUAGUCCAUGCCGUAAACGAUGAACACUAGGUUUUGGGCUCGUCAACGGUCCAGAGCCGCAGCUAACGCGUUAAGUGUUCCGCCUGGGGAAUGCGGUCGCAAGACUG